rnacentral:rRNA from 1 species
GACGAACGCUGGCGGCGUGCCUAAUACAUGCAAGUCGAGCGAGCAAUUUUGACGGAAUACUUCGGUAGGAAGUCAGAAGCGCGAGCGGCGGAUGGGUGAGUAACACGUGGGCAACCUGCCCUUUAGCUUGGGAUACCACUUGGAAACAGGUGCUAAUACCAAAUAAGCAGGACGAGCGCAUGCUCGAGCUGAGAAAGGCGGCUUUCGAGCUGUCACUAAAGGAUGGGCCCGCGGUGCAUUAGCUAGUUGGUAAGGUAACGGCUUACCAAGGCGAUGAUGCAUAGCCGAGUUGAGAGACUGACCGGCCACAUUGGGACUGAGACACGGCCCAAACUCCUACGGGAGGCAGCAGUAGGGAAUCUUCCACAAUGGACGCAAGUCUGAUGGAGCAACGCCGCGUGAGUGAAGAAGGUUUUCGGAUCGUAAAGCUCUGUUGUUGGUGAAGAAGGACAAGGGUAGUAACUGAUUCUUGUUUGACGGUAAUCAACCAGAAAGUCACGGCUAACUACGUGCCAGCAGCCGCGGUAAUACGUAGGUGGCAAGCGUUGUCCGGAUUUAUUGGGCGUAAAGCGAACGCAGGCGGGAGAAUAAGUCAGCUGUGAAAGCCCCCAGCUUAACUGGGGAAGUGCAACUGAAACUAUUUUUCUUGAGUGCAGAAGAGGAGAGUGGAACUCCAUGUGUAGCGGUGGAAUGCGUAGAUAUAUGGAAGAACACCAGUGGCGAAGGCGGCUCUCUGGUCUGUAACUGACGCUGAGGUUCGAAAGCAUGGGGUAGCGAACAG